rnacentral:rRNA from 1 species
UGAGUACGAGCUGCUACGGCAGCGAAGUGGGUGAUGUCAAGCUUCCAAGAAAAGCCCUAUACCCGUUAAGGCAUGAUGGCCUGUACCCGAAACCGACACAGGUGGGGUGGUAGAGAAUACCGAGGGGCGCGAGAUAACUCUCUCUAAGGAACUCGGCAAAAUGGCCCCAUAACUUCGGGAGAAGGGGUGCCACCGCAAGGUGGUCGCAGUGAAGAGGCCCAGGCGACUGUUUACCAAAAACACAGGUCUCCGCUAAGUCGCAAGACGAUGUAUGGGGGCUGACGCCUGCCCAGUGCCGGAAGGUUAAGGAAGCUGGUCAGCGUAAGCGAAGCUAGCGACUGAAGCCCCGGUGAACGGCGGCCGUAACGAUAACGGUCCUAAGGUAGCGAAAUUCCUUGUCGGGUAAGUUCCGACCCGCACGAAAGGCGUAACGAUCUGGGCGCUGUCUCGGAGAGAGGCUCGGCGAAAUAGAAUUGUCUGUGAAGAUGCGGACUACGUGCACCCGGACAGAAAGACCCUAUGAAGCUUUACUGUAGCUUGGUAUUGUGCUCGGGCUCGGAAUGCGCAGGAUAGGUGGGAGGCUAUGAACCAUUGCUUGUGGGUGAUGGUGAGCCACUGGUGAGAUACCACUCUUUCCGAGCUAGAGUUCUAACAGCCACCCGUUAUCCGGGGGCUGGACAGUAUCAGGUGGGCAGUUUGACUGGGGCGGUCGCCUCCUAAAAGGUAACGGAGGCGCGCAAAGGUUUGCUCAGGCUGGUUGGAAAUCAGCCGACGAGUGUAAAAGCAGAAGCAAGCUUGACUGUGAGACCUACAAGUCGAACAGGGAGGAAACUCGGCUUUAGUGAUCCGACGGUUCUGCGUGGAAGGGCCGUCGCUCAACGGAUAAAAGUUACUCUAAGGAUAACAGGCUGAUCUCCCCCAAGAGUUCACAUCGACGGGGAGGUUUGGCACCUCGAUGUCGGCUCAUCGCAACCUGGGGCUGAAGUCGGUCCCAAGGGUUGGGCUGUUCGCCCAUUAAAGCGGUACGCGAGCUGGGUUCAGAACGUCGUGAGACAGUUCGGUCCAUAUCCGGUGCAUGCGCAGGAAUAUUGAGAGGAUUUCUCCCUAGUACGAGAGGACCGGGAGGAACGCACCUCUGGUGUACCAGUUAUCGUGCCAACGGUAAACGCUGGGUAGCCAUGUGCGGAGAGGAUAACCGCUGAAAGCAUCUAAGUGGGAAGCCCACCUCAAGAUGAGUAUUCCCAUGGGGUAACCCAGUAAGGUCACGGGAAGAACACCCGUUGAUAGGCUCUACGUGGAAGCGCAGUAAUGUGUGAAGCGGAGGAGUACUAAUAGACCGAGGGCUUGACCGC